CAUGAUGGACAUGAUAUAAUGAAACAACAUUGUGGAGAGGAAAGCAUUAGGGGAGCCCACGGCUACAAAAACAAGUGAGUGAGAAGAGGUGGGAGAAAAAGAAACUACGCCACCUCCCCUGCGGCCGAGCGCACGCAGCAGCCCGGCGUGACAAGUGGGCGACGCCAGGGGCAGGGAGUGGGGGGUCCUCGGCCCACCCCGGGGACCCUGUUGCCCACCGUGCGCAGAGCAACUUUUAACCGGCAGACCCGCACCUGUCUCCGAGUCCCCAUCGCUCCCCGCGACCAUCCUGGGAAAAUUCUAGAAGAAUACGCUCUCGGAAUCUACGUGCGCAUCAUUUUCCUCCUCGCUCCGGGAGGAAGGAACCAGAAAGCCAGCAGAGCGGCGUCACGUUCAGACCAUCGAACCGCCAUGCAUCCCAGGGAUGGUGUCCUUUACUGGAGGAUUUCUGCCUCACUUAACUUUCCGGAGUCUUUUAACUGCCUUCUGUUGCUGCCUAGGGUAGAGGACUUGAGCCAGCAAGAGUCCGCAGUGUCUCUGCCUCCUGACCUGCCCUUGCCGAAUACUGGUUUACAGGAGAAUUUGAGCCCA